AGUCGAACGCAGUAGCAAUACUGAGUGGCAAACGGGUGAGUAUAAUGUGGGAAUCUGCCUUUUGGUUUGGAAUAACACGGGGAAACUUGUGCUAAUACCGGAUAAGCCCUUACGGGGAAAGUUUUAACGCCGAAAGAUGAGCCUGCACUUGAUUAGCUAGUUGGUAAGGUAAAAGCUUACCAAGGCAACGAUCAAUAGCUGUUCUUAGAGGAAGACCAGCCACAUUGGGACUGAGACACGGCCCAGACUCCUACGGGAGGCAGCAGUGGGGAAUCUUGCACAAUGGGGGAAACCCUGACGCAGCGAUGCCGCGUGAGUGAAGAAGGCCUUUGGGUUGUAAAACUCUUUCGUCGGGGAAGAAAAUGACUGUACCCGAAUAAGAAGGUCCGGCUAACUUCGUGCCAGCAGCCGCGGUAAUACGAAGGGACCUAGCGUAGUUCGGAAUUACUGGGCUUAAAGAGCUCGUAGGUGGUUAAAAAAGUUGAUGGUGAAAUCCCAAGGCUCAACCUUGGAACUGCCAUCAAAACUUUUUAGCUAGAGUGUGAUAGAGGUAAGUGGAAUUUCUAGUGUAGAGGUGAAAUUCGUAGAUAUUAGAAAGAACACCAAAUGCGAAGGCAACUUACUGGGUCACUACUGACACUGAGGAGCGAAAGCAUGGGUAGCGAAGAGGAUUAGAUGCCCUCGUAGUCCAUGCCGUAAACGAUGUGUGCUAGACGUUGGGAAUAUAUUUUUCAGUGUCGCAGCGAAAGCAUUAAGCACACCGCCUGGGGAGUACGACCGCAAGGUUAAAACUCAAAUGAAUUGACGGGGACCCGCACAAGCAGUGGAGCAUGUGGUUUAAUU
rnacentral:rRNA from 1 species